rnacentral:rRNA from 1 species
CCGGACCUGACUGCUAUCGGAUUGGCGCUAAGCCAUGCGAGUCAUUGUAGCAAUACAAGGCGGACGGCUCAGUAACACGUAGUCAACCUAACCUAUGGACGUGGAUAACCUCGGGAGACUGAGAAUAAACCACGAUAGAUCAUGAUGCCUGGAAUGGCUUAUGGUUCAAACAAUUUAUUGCCAUAGGAUGGGACUGCGGCCUAUCAGCUUGUUGGUGAGGUAAUGGCCCACCAAGGCUAUAACAGGUACGGGCUCUGAGAGGAGAAGCCCGGAGAUGGGUACUGAGACACGGACCCAGGCCCUAUGGGGCGCAGCAGGCGAGAAACCUUAGCAAUGUGCGAAAGCACGACUAGGCUAAUCCGAGUGGUUCCUGCUAAAGGAACCUUUUGUCAGUCGUAAAACCACAGACGAAUAAGGGGUGGGCAAGUCUGGUGUCAGCCGCCGCGGUAAUACCAGCACCUCGAGUGGUCAGGAGGUUUAUUGGGCCUAAAGCAUCCGUAGCCGGCUAUGCAAGUCUCCGGUUAAAUCCAACUGCUCAACAGAUGGGCUGCCGGAGAUACUACAUAGCUAGGGAGCGGGAGAGGCAGACGGUAUUCGGUGGGUAGGGGUAAAAUCCUCUGAUCCAUCGAGGACCACCAGUGGCGAAGGCGGUCUGCCAGAACGCGUUCGACGGUGAGGGAUGAAAGCUGGGGGAGCAAACCGGAUUAGAUACCCGGGUAGUCCCAGCUGUAAACGAUGCAAACUCGGUGAUGCGUUGGCUUAUGGCCAACGCAGUGCCGCAGGGAAGCCGUUAAGUUUGCCGCCUGGGAAGUACGGACGCAAGUCUGAAACUUAAAGGAAUUGGCGGGGGAGCACCACAAGGGUGAAGCCUGCGGUUCA